GGUGAACGCUGGCGGCGUGCCUAACACAUGCAAGUCGAACGGAGUCGUUUUGGAAAUCUCUUCGGAGAUGGAAUUCUCGACUUAGUGGCGGACGGGUGAGUAACGCGUGAGCAAUCUGCCUUUAAGAGGGGGAUAACAGUCGGAAACGGCUGCUAAUACCGCAUAAAGCAUUAAAUUCGCAUGUUUUUGAUGCCAAAGGAGCAAUCCGCUUUUAGAUGAGCUCGCGUCUGAUUAGCUAGUUGGCGGGGUAGCGGCCCACCAAGGCGACGAUCAGUAGCCGGACUGAGAGGUUGAACGGCCACAUUGGGACUGAGACACGGCCCAGGCGCCUACGGGAGGCAGCAGUGGGGAAUAUUGCGCAAUGGGGGAAGCCCUGACGCAGCAACGCCGCGUGAUUGAAGAAGGCCUUCGGGUUGUAAAGAUCUUUAAUCAGGGACGAAACAAAUGACGGUACCUGAAGAAUAAGCUCCGGCUAACUACGUG
rnacentral:rRNA from 1 species